GACGAACGCUGGCGGCGUGCUUAACACAUGCAAGUCGAACGGAAAGGCCCUGCUUUUGUGGGGUGCUCAAGUGGCGAACGGGUGAGUAACACGUGAGUAACCUGCCCUUGACUUUGGGAUAACUUCAGGAAACUGGGGCUAAUACCGGAUAGGAGCUCCUGCUGCAUGGUGGGGGUUGGAAAGUUUCGGCGGUUGGGGAUGGACUCGCGGCUUAUCAGCUUGUUGGUGGGGUAGUGGCUUACCAAGGCUUUGACGGGUAGCCGGCCUGAGAGGGUGACCGGCCACAUUGGGACUGGGAUACGGCCCAGACUCCUACGGGAGGCAGCAGUGGGGAAUAGUGCACAAUGGGAGGAAGCCUGAUGCAGCAACGCCGCGUGCGGGAUGACGGCCUGCGGGUUGUAAACCGCUUUCGCCUGGGACGAAGCGUGAGUGACGGUAAUGGGUAAAGAAGCACCGGCUAACUACGUG
rnacentral:rRNA from 1 species